rnacentral:rRNA from 1 species
GGGUGGUAAUGCCGGAUGCUCCAACAUGACGCAUGUCGUGUCGGGAAAGAUUCUAUCGGUAUGGGAUGGGGUCGCGUCCUAUCAGGUAGUCGGCGGGGUAACGGCCCACCGAGCCUACGACGGGUAGCCGGCCUGAGAGGGCGACCGGCCACAUUGGGACUGAGAUACGGCCCAGACUCCUACGGGAGGCAGCAGUGGGGAAUAUUGCACAAUGGGCGCAAGCCUGAUGCAGCGACGCCGCGUGCGGGAUGACGGCCUUCGGGUUGUAAACCGCUUUUGACUGGGAGCAAGCCCUUCGGGGUGAGUGUACCUUUCGAAUAAGCACCGGCUAACUACGUGCCAGCAGCCGCGGUAAU